rnacentral:ncRNA from 1 species
UUUUGUUUUUAAAAGUUUAAAUUUAGCUUACUCCUUGCUGUAUUUAGAAAUUAGAUUUAAUAUUUUACUUGAACUAAAUAGUAUUAUAGAUUGAGAACAGAAAUAGAAAUAAAUAUAUAUUCCCGGCCAAAAACGUGCCAGCCGCCGCGGCUAAACGAGAGGGGAUAGUAAGGAUAAUAGAAAUGAUAAUUGUGAAAUUUAAAAUUAAAAGAGGUGAAAUUUAAUUUAAUUUUUAUUUGAAUAAAUCAUGGUAAGUUAAGGGCUAAAACUAGGAUUAGAUACCCUAUUAUUCUUAAUAUGGUAAGGUAGUAAAGUUAUUGAAACCUAAGUGUUUUGGCGGUCUUCAAUCUAGUUAGAGGAGCUUGUCUCGUAAUUGAUAAUCCUCAUUAUUUUUUACUUUAGUUAAAAGUUUAUAUACCGCCGUAUAGAAUUUUUUUAAAAAACAAAGUCAGGAUAUUAGUGGAUAGAAAUUCAGGUCAAGGUGUAGCUUAUACUAAAGGGAAGGUGAGCUACUAUUAGAAUAUAUAAGGCUUAUUAGGAAAAUUUCUUAUAUAAAAAGGGAUUUAAAAGUAAAUUUUAUUUAGUAAUUAAAUUUGAAAUUAGAAAUUGAAGAUGUACAUAUCGCCCGUCGCUCUUAUUGAAAAAUAAGAUAAGUCGUAACAUAGUUGGGGUACUGGAAAGUGCUCCUAG